ACUCCUACGGGAGGCAGCAGUAGGGAAUCUUCCACAAUGGGCGCAAGCCUGAUGGAGCAACACCGCGUGAGUGAAGAAGGGUUUCGGCUCGUAAAGCUCUGUUGUUAAAGAAGAACACGUAUGAGAGUAACUGUUCAUACGUUGACGGUAUUUAACCAGAAAGUCACGGCUAACUACGUGCCAGCAGCCGCGGUAAUACGUAGGUGGCAAGCGUUAUCCGGGAUUUAUUGGGCGUAAAGAGAGUGCAGGCGGUUUUCUAAGUCUGAUGUGAAAGCCUUCGGCUUAACCGGAGAAGUGCAUCGGAAACUGGAUAACUUGAGUGCAGAAGAGGGUAGUGGAACUCCAUGUGUAGCGGUGGAAUGCGUAGAUAUAUGGAAGAACACCAGUGGCGAAGGCGGCUACCUGGUCUGCAACUGACGCUGAGACUCGAAAGCAUGGGUAGCGAACAGGAUUAGAUACCCUGGUAGGAUAGCG
rnacentral:rRNA from 1 species